rnacentral:rRNA from 1 species
AGUGGGUGUAACGUACCUACUAGCCGACGACGGGUACGGGUUGUGAGAGCAAGAGCCCGGAGAUGGAUUCUGAGACAUGAAUCCAGGCCCUACGGGGCGCAGCAGGCGCGAAAACUUUACAAUGCGGGAAACCGCGAUAAGGGGACACUGAGUGCCAGCAUACAAUGUUGGCUGUCCGCAUGUAUAAAUAGCAUGUGUUAGCAAGGGCCGGGCAAGACCGGUGCCAGCCGCCGCGGUAACACCGGCGGCCCGAGUGGUGGCCACUAUUAUUGGGUCUAAAGGGUCCGUAGCCGGUUUGAUCAGUCCUCCGGGAAAUCUGACAGCUCAACUGUUAGGCUUCCGGGGGAUACUGUCAGACUUGGGACCGGGAGAGGUAAGAGGUACUACAGGGGUAGGAGUGAAAUCUUGUAAUCCUUGUGGGACCACCAGUGGCGAAGGCGUCUUACCAGAACGGGUCCGACGGUGAGGGACGAAAGCUGGGGGCACGAACCGGAUUAGAU